AAAGUUUUCAAAAGCUUAAUAAUGGAAAGCUGCAACUCGGUGCACAUACUUUAUUGUUCCAAUUGAUCAUGUCAGGAAAUACCUGAAAUUGCAUGAAGAAAGCAUAGCCUAUGCUCGAGCGGCCGUGUAACGCAAUUUGUAAUUAAAAAAAAAGCAUAGCCUCAUCAUUGUCUCUGCACUAUGAUACACACAAAUGCCAAAGCAAAGCUUUUGUUGAACGUAUUCACAACAACAAAAUUAUUAGUCAUUGGCAACCAUGGCUUCCGAUGGGGAGCUGCUGUCUAAUUUCUUUACUCGCAACUUGCUUUGGGGAGGUAGGUCCGAAGAUACAUCAGCGUCGACGAUAAUUGAAUCCUCAUCCUUGAACUCUCCCCUCAGGACUCCCAUUGCAAUUUCAUUCUCAACCAACUGCUGUAUAACCCGCUUAACUGGCCUAGCUCCAAAAUUCGGGUCAAAUCCUAAUGUCGCUAAAAGUACUAUGGCUUCCUUGGUGUAAUGAAGAUCGAUUUUCUUUUGUUUGAGUCUCUCUUUCACUCGGCUCAUCUGUAUCUCAACGAUUUUACUGAUUUCUUUGGAGUCCAAAGGCUGGAAAACAAUAUAUUCAUCAAUCCGAUUCAUGAACUCUGGGCGGAAAGUUUGCCGAGCCAACUCAACAACUUGCCGUUUCAUGAUAUCAUACACAACUUCCUUGCUGUCUUGUGCAUUACGAAGAGUUUCAAGUAUAAGAUGUGAACCAAUGUUUGAAGUCAUAAUCACAACACAGUUAGUAAAACUAACAGUCCUUCCUUGAGAAUCAGUUAUCCUUCCAUCAUCCAGCAACUGUAAAAGAAUGUUGAAGACAUCGUGAUGUGCUUUCUCAAUUUCAUCAAACAGGACUACAGAAUAUGGUCUUCGACGAACCACUUCAGUGAGCUGCCCCCCUUCUUCAUAUCCAACAUAACCUGGCGGAGCCCCCACCAACCGUGAAACAGCAUGCUUUUCCAUAUAUUCACUCAUAUCUAUUCUCACCAUAGCAUUUUCCGUGUUAAAGAGGUAAGCAGCUAAAGCUUUUGCAAGCUCAGUUUUGCCAACACCAGUAGGGCCCAUGAACAUGAAGCUAGCUAUUGGACGAUUUGGGUCUGACAAUCCUGCCCUUGAACGUCGGAUUGCAUCAGCCACAGAUUUUACUGCAAUAUCUUGGCCAACUACCCUCUUGUGGAGUACCUGUUCCAGGAAUACUAGUUUCUCCCUCUCAGAUUCUUGAAGGUUUGACACAGGAAUGCCAGUCCAUUUGCUUACAAUUUCAGCAAUAUCAAGAUCUGUGACCUCUUCUCGAAGCAAAGAUUUUCCAGACUUCCGGAAGUCGGCUAGGUUUUUCUCAGCCUCUUCUAACUGGCGUUGAAGGGAAAUCAGAGUUCCAUAUUUGAGCUCAGCAGCACGAUUCAGGUCAUACUCACGCUCAGCAGCUUCCAUCUCUAGGUUGACUCUAUCAAUCUCUUCCUUGAUUGACCGUAUUCGAGUCAUGAGUGCCUUCUCACCAUCCCACUGUUCAUUCAGUUCUUUUUGUUUUUGUUUAAGCUCACUUAAAUCACUUUCAAGCUUGCUUAAUCUCUCUUUGGAUGCUUUAUCAGUGUCAUUCUUCAGAGAGAGCUUCUCCAUUUCCAACUUUAAUACAGCCCUGUCUAUCUCAUCCAACUCCGUAGGCUUAGAAGUAAUCUCCAUUUUCAGCUUUGCAGCAGCUUCAUCAACGAGAUCAAUGGCUUUGUCAGGUAAAAAUCGUUCUGUGAUGUAUCUAUCCGCAAGCAUUGCUGCCGAAACAAGGGCACUGUCUGAUAUUUUAACACCAUGAUGUAGCUCAUAGCGCUCACGUAGACCACGAAGAAUGGAUAUAGUGUCAUCAACAGAUGGUUGAUCACAAAACACUUGUUGAAAUCUGCGCUCAAGCGCUGGGUCCUUCUCAAUAUAUUUCCUGUACUCAUUCAGUGUAGUUGCUCCUAUACAUCGGAGCUCACCUCGCCCAAGCAUUGGUUUCAGCAAGUUCCCAGCAUCCAUCGCUCCAGUUGUAGACCCUGCACCGACAACAGUAUGGAUCUCAUCAAUGAAUAGAAUGAUUUGCCCAUUUGAAGCAGUAACUUCCUUCAGCACAGCUUUUAACCUUUCCUCAAAAUCUCCACGAUACUUUGCUCCAGCAACCAAUGAACCCAUAUCCAGGGAGAUUAGCUUCCGGUUCAAUAGCGGUUCAGGCACGUCACCACGCACAAUCCUUUGGGCUAGUCCCUCAGCAAUUGCGGUCUUUCCAACACCAGGCUCACCAAUGAUAACAGGAUUAUUUUUGGUUCUCCUAGAUAAUAUCUGGAUACACCUUCGAAUUUCAUCAUCACGACCUAUGACAGGAUCAAGUUUGCCACGCCUAGCAAGCUCAGUCAAGUCAUUACCAUAUUUGUCCAAUGCUUCAUACUUCCCUUCAGGAUUUUGAUCAAUUACUCUCUGACUUCCUCGAACAGCUUGGAUGGCAUCUCUCAUAUCCUUCUCACUGAGUUGGAGGCUCCUCAGUAACUGUUGCCCAAACCUCUUAUCCAAAUGGAAUGCUAACACAAAAUGCUCCACUGACACAAAAUCAUCGCCCAUUUCUUUCUUAUGCUUGCGAGCAUUAUCUAAUAAGACGCCAAGAUAUGAACCCAUUAUUGGGCCACUGGUGUCACCCAUCACCUUCGGUUGUUGGGAAAUAAAGUUUUCUGUAGCCUGCAAAACUGAUGUAUUAUCAACCCCAGCCUUCGUGAAUAUUCUCCUAGCCAAUCCAUCUUUUUGCUCUAAAAGGGCUUUCAUCAAAUGCUCAGUUUCCACCACUUGCUGUUUGCUAUUUCGUGCUGUAUCAACAGCACCAACAAUUCCCUCCCAUGCCAUCUCAGUGAAUUCUGAUGGAUUAGCCUGUGAAGAGCUAGCUGCAGCGGAGAAACGCGGAGAGGAAGAGUGAAAACAGCGACUGAGCGUGACUGUAGAAAAGAUGGCCCAAACGGCAUUGUGGUUGGCUGCAAAUUUUUUACCAUUGACAGAGUUACCAAACAGAGAAGCGGAAGAAGAGAUUGAGCGAGCACACGAGAGCAAAGAAGGAUAGUCAUAGAGAGAGAUUCUCGAUGCUCUUGAAGAUGAUAGUAUAGCUGCAAAAGCGGAUUUUGUAAGCCUCCUUGAGGCCAUCUUCGUUGAGAUUGAGACUGAUAAGACUGUAACUAAGAGACCACAAAGAGAGAGAGAGAGGGAAAAGACCGAAAGAGAUAUCUAUACGCCUCGGAAGCUUCGGGAAGAGGCAAGACGAAGGCCGUAGAAUGGCGUGGGAACUUGGUCGAUUCUCGUUGAAACGGUGAACAGCGUCG
rnacentral:misc_RNA from 1 species